CAGGAAAUAUCGGUAUGAGCUGCUGAAGCUAGCUCGUUUCGGCUUACCGUUAUUAAAGACCCAUUCGGCAGAGUAGCUGUCGAUAUCAUAGGCUCCCUAGCUAAGCCUAGUCCCUAGGAAGAAGUACAUUCUGACCAUGGUGGACUACGCGACUCGGUAUCCCGAGGCAGUAGCCCUGAGCAACAUUCGGGCAAAGACUGUGGCUAAAGCCCUGAUGCAAGUGUUCUCACAGAUGGG